rnacentral:lncRNA from 1 species
CAUAUCUGUUUAAUCCUGGUAAGAGAGCAGAGACAAUGGAAUUGUACAGGAUGCUAGAUUAAACUUAGAGAAGGCAGAAAAGUGGAAGACAAGAACAAAAGAAGAGCAAUUAAUAGAAAACAUUAACAGAUAUAGUAAUUUAUAUCAAUCAGUUUAAAUGUGAGUUGUCUAAAUACACAAAUACACAGAUACUGUCACAGAAGAUUAAAAAACAAGACUAAACAAGAAAUCCACUUUAAAUACAAAGAUGGAGAAAGAUACAUCCUGUGUUAAUGGACUGAAUGUUCGUGUUCCCCCUGUUCCCCAAAUUUGUAUGUUGAAGCCCUAACCCCCAGUGUGAUAGUAUUUGCAGAUAGGGAUCUUGGAAGAUAAUUAAGGUUAGGUGGCACCAUGACUAACAUAAGGUUAGUGUCCUUAUAAGAAGGGACACAGAGAGCUUGCUCUCUUUGCCAUGUGAAGAUACGACUAGAAGGUAGCUGUCUACAAAUGAGAAAGCCUUCCCCAGAAAUUGUGAUGACACCCUGAUCCCAGACUUCCAGUCUUCAGAAAUUUGAGAAAAAGAAAAUUUAUGUUGUUUAAGUCACCUAGUGUAUGGUAUUUUGUUAGGGUAGCCUAGAUAGACUAACAUAUCAAACUACACUCAUGAAAAGAAAGCUGGAGUAGCUAUAUUAAUUUCAUACAAAGCUGACUUCAGAACAAGGAAAAUGAUCAAGCAACAUAUGGUGAUAAAGGGGUAAUUAACUUUUAAUAAAAGACACCAUAGAAUGUAUGUCUUUAACUACAAAGGAAUUAAAUUAGAAAAUACCUGGAAAAUCCCAAAAUACUUGUAGAUUAAGGAGCACACUUUUAAACACAUAGGUCAAAGAAGUCUCAAGAGAAAAUAUAUUUUGAAAUAAAUGAAAAUACAAAUUAUCAAAAUUUCUGAGAUGCGACUGGGCGCGGUGGAUCAUGCCUGUAAUCCCAGCACUUUGGGAGGCCGAGGUGGGUGGAUCAUGAGGUCAGGAGAUUGAGACCAUCCUGGCUAACACGAUGAAACUUCAUGUCUACUAAAAAUACAAAAAAUUAGCUGGGCAUGGUGGCGGGCACCUGUAGUCCCAGCUACUUGGGAGGCAGAGGCAGGAGAAUGGCAUGAACCUGGGAUGCGGAGCAUCCAGUGAGCGGAGAUGGCACCACUGCACUCCAGCUUGGGGAACAGAGCGAGACUUUGUCUCAAAAAAAAAAAAAAAAAAAA